rnacentral:lncRNA from 1 species
CGACGAUCGCCGACUGUGUUCGCCGCUCUCAUUGUGCUUUAAGUGUAGCCUGUUUUGUGGGCACAGGUUCGCCCAAUAAAAGCUAGUUUUGCCUUUCA